rnacentral:rRNA from 1 species
GAUGAACGCUAGCGGGAGGCCUAACACAUGCAAGCCGAGCGGUAUUGUUUCUUCGGAAAUGAGAGAGCGGCGUACGGGUGCGGAACACGUGUGCAACCUGCCUUUAUCUGGGGGAUAGCCUUUCGAAAGGAAGAUUAAUACUCCAUAAUAUAUUGAACGGCAUCGUUUAAUAUUGAAAGCUCCGGCGGAUAGAGAUGGGCACGCGCAAGAUUAGGUAGUUGGUGAGGUAACGGCUCACCAAGGCGAUGAUCUUUAGGGGGCCUGAGAGGGGGAUCACACACACGGGUACUGAGAAACGGACCAGACUCCUACGGGAGGAAGCAGUGAGGAAUAUUGGUCAAUGGGUGCAAGCCUGAACCAGCCAUCCCGCGUGAAGGACGACUGCCCUAUGGGUUGUAAACUUCUUUUGUAUAGGGAUAAACCUACCCUCGUGAGGGUAGCUGAAGGUACUAUACGAAUAAGCACCGGCUAACUCCGUGCCAGCCGCCGCAGUAACAC